rnacentral:rRNA from 1 species
UACGGAGGGGGCUAGCGUUGUUCGGAAUUACUGGGCGUAAAGCGCACGUAGGCGGCUUUGUAAGUUAGAGGUGAAAGCCCGGGGCUCAACUCCGGAAUUGCCUUUAAGACUGCAUCGCUAGAAUUGUGGAGAGGUAAGUGGAAUUCCGAGUGUAGAGGUGAAAUUCGUAGAUAUUCGCAAGAACACCAGUGGCGAAGGCGGCUCACUGGCCCGGUACUGACGCUGAGGCGCGAAAGCGUGGGAAGCAAACAGG